UCUACAUUCCUGCUGUUAUGUUAUUUUGAUAAUGUUAUUUCAUUCAGACGUAAUAUUCUGUUUCUUCCGUCACAUCAUGUUUGGGGGAGGAAGAUCCGUAUAAUUUUGUCUGCAAGAAGGCAGGGACUAUGUAUGAAUCACUUCAGACCAGUGAUAGGUUUAAAUACUAGGCUUCCGCAGCAUCCAAGAAAAUAGCAAUUAGUUCUCAUUUUCUAUGCCACAAAAUGACUGAACUUGAUGUUGAAACCCUGGCAAUUACGUAUAUCGGCACAGGAAGGAACCAGACAAACACCACAAGCAGCCUGAGGUGGUCUGUGGUCAAGGGUAGGGUCAAUCCCCAAGGCUGAUCCUCUGGCACUAGGGAAACAAUAGAUAGACGGACGGACGGACUGUUACGUAGGUACCCCCGCCCCUCCCUGUAGAGUAUCCUGCAGGCCCAGUGGUGACAACAGCUGAGGGCAAUUACAAUCAAAAGGGGCGGGUGGAUAAAGCCUGUGCUCUCCCACACCACUUGGCUCUGGAGAGGGAAAGUAUGAAAAAUCAAUUGAGAGAAUUGGGUAUGCAGGAGUAUACUUUGGAAAAUAUUUUAAGUUUAAUGAAGAGGAAUUGUAUAAAAGUAUUGUUUGGCUUUUUGAGAGAAACAGGGUUAUAUGGUAGGAUAUAGAGUAGAAAGAAGGUGUGAAUGAGUGAGUGUUUGGAUAUUUUUGUUUUUGAUUCGUUAACUGGAUCAGAAGAGGGCGGUAAUGCACCAAGUUGUGGAUGCCAACCGCCGAAAAACCCCAAGAAGAAGAAGAAGACCACUUGGCUCUAAGCCACGGUUGAUACUGGUUGUAUCGUGUUUGGGCGCUACGCCAUUGAUGUGGACACUACCUGUCACAUUUGUAGGCUUUCGUGCCAUUGUUUGUAGGCUCUUUAGCCAUCAUUUAGUUGUCUUGCUGGUCUUGCCAGGCAAGUUACAUUUCCCUGGCGAUAGUCGUUUGCUCGUGUUGCAUUAGUUUGUAUUAUCACGCUGAGUGGGUUAUUGUUUGGUGCUUGUUUGUCUUACUGUUGUUCCUGUUUUGUUCUCCCUUUCCCUUAUCCCUUUCCAGUCAAUAAACAUUAUUUACUUUAGAAAACGUGUUUGCUUUGAAU
ensembl:lncRNA